GACGAACGCUGGCGGCGUGCUUAACACAUGCAAGUCGAACGCUGAAGCUUGGUGCUUGCACUGGGUGGAUGAGUGGCGAACGGGUGAGUAAUACGUGAGUAACCUGCCCUUGACUCUGGGAUAAGCCUGGGAAACUGGGUCUAAUACUGGAUACGACAUGUCACCGCAUGGUGGUGUGUGGAAAGGGUUUUACUGGUUUUGGAUGGGCUCACGGCCUAUCAGCUUGUUGGUGGGGUAAUGGCUCACCAAGGCGACGACGGGUAGCCGGCCUGAGAGGGUGACCGGCCACACUGGGACUGAGACACGGCCCAGACUCCUACGGGAGGCAGCAGUGGGGAAUAUUGCACAAUGGGCGGAAGCCUGAUGCAGCGACGCCGCGUGAGGGAUGACGGCCUUCGGGUUGUAAACCUCUUUCAGCACGGAAGAAGCGAAAGUGACGGUACGUGCAGAAGAAGCGCCGGCUAACUACGUG
rnacentral:rRNA from 1 species